rnacentral:rRNA from 1 species
AUUGAACGCUGGCGGCAGGCCUAACACAUGCAAGUCGAACGGUAACAGGAGGCAGCUUGCUGCUUCGCUGACGAGUGGCGGACGGGUGAGUAAUGUCUGGGAAGCUGCCUGAUGGAGGGGGAUAACUACUGGAAACGGUAGCUAAUACCGCAUAAUGUCGCAAGACCAAAGAGGGGGACCUUCGGGCCUCUUGCCAUCGGAUGUGCCCAGAUGGGAUUAGCUUGUUGGUGGGGUAACGGCUCACCAAGGCGACGAUCCCUAGCUGGUCUGAGAGGAUGACCAGCCACACUGGAACUGAGACACGGUCCAGACUCCUACGGGAGGCAGCAGUGGGGAAUAUUGCACAAUGGGCGCAAGCCUGAUGCAGCCAUGCCGCGUGUAUGAAGAAGGCCUUCGGGUUGUAAAGUACUUUCAGCGGGGAGGAAGGGAGUAAAGUUAAUACCUUUGCUCAUUGACGUUACCCGCAGAAGAAGCACCGGCUAACUCCGUG